GGGCUGGGAUAUAAGGUGAGGCAAGAAAGCUCCUCCCAAAACAAAAGUCCCAGGCUUGGGUCAGAUCCCCGUCCACAGGCAUUCACCUGGGCGGCAUGACCUCAGGCUCCCGGAUCGAGAGCCAGACCAUUUCUGGCUUCCCUUCUUCUCCUUCUGGUCAGUACCCAGCCACCCACCUGACCACCAAGGGGGACCACCCUCCGGCUCUGACCCUUCUUGACCUGCGCGUACACGCAGCCAGGGCCCAUUCGUCUGUGGGCUGUGACUUUCGUGGCCGACGGGGGAUUUGCCAGUGGUGUUGUGUGCAGCCAGGAGGAUCUGUGGGCUUUUGGCUGAAGAAACUAGGCUCAGGGCCACCUGCUCGGGGUCAGGCCCCCCCAACCUGCUCUCCACCGGAGGACCCUGCUUGGACCCUGACCUGUAUUUCAGGACAGGAGUUGAGGCCCAGCAAGAGAGAGUGACUUGCCCAAGGUUACAAUUGGUUAGGGUUGAGCCACAACUUGCUCUGCCGAGAAAAACCUCUGCCCUGGCCUCUGGGUGUGCCACUGUGGCUUGGAGGGACCCGACUCGUGUCCAGAUGAGGGCCUGGCCCUCGGUUGAGGGUCCAGGUUCAGAGUAGCACAGUAAGCCAUGAAGGCUCCCCAUGGGAUACAGGCCUGGCGAUGGGCCAGAGGAGCCUGGAGCGGGAUAACCCCCACCUGAGGUCACCGUCUCCCCCGCAGUGACAUCACUGCUCUGGGCCGCACAGCCGGAGGACCACGCAAGCUGAGGCGGGCCAGGUAGGCAGCUGGAAGCACGUCACCAACCCCGGGGCAGCCCCCAUCACCCGCCAAAGCCCCCUGGGGAUGACUGGCCUCCAUGUGCCUUGGAAACCAGAAGGCGCCCAUCACCUCUGGUCCGAGUGCCUCAUCUCACAGAGAGGGACACUAAGCAGAGCCUCUCCCAAGGUUAGCAAGAGAACAGUAAAGCCUGGGAGGAGCCCAGCACAGGGCACUGUCCGCAGCCAAGGGCCGUGGUCCCCAGCACCCUGCUGCGUGAGGGCCCGGGGAGAAGCGUGAGCAGUGGAGGAGGGCUGUGCUCGAGAGAGAUGACACCCAGGGCCCCCCGAAGGCCAGGUGGCUCCUGCCCCCAGGAACUCACAGGAACACAGCUCAGACGGUGUCCAUGUUUAUCGCCUGUCCUCACACAGAAUGUAAGCAGCCUCUCCCCACUCGCAGCUGUGUCCCCAGAACCUAGCGCAAUGCCUGGCAUGUAGUAAGUGCUCAGCAAACCUUUGAAUCAACAAACGAAU
rnacentral:lncRNA from 1 species